rnacentral:rRNA from 1 species
UACGGGAGGCAGCAGUGGGGAAUAUUGGGCAAUGGAGGAAACUCUGACCCAGCGACGCCGCGUGCGGGAUGAAGGCCUUCGGGUUGUAAACCGCUUUCAGUAGGGAAGAAGCGAAAGUGACGGUACCUACAAAAGAAGCACCGGCUAACUAUGUGCCAGCAGCCGCGGUAAUA